rnacentral:misc_RNA from 1 species
AAGUCGUAACAAGGUUUCCGUAGGUGAACCUGCGGAAGGAUCAUUAAUGAAAGUCUGGGCUUCGGCCCUCUCUCUCUCUUCUACGACACUUGUGAAUCUACCCUGUUGCUUUGGCAGGUCUCCGUCCCUCCAGUGAGUAGUAACCUACUUUGCUGGCAUGGGCGGUUAGACCGGAAGGUGCCUGCCAAAGACAUUUCUCAUCACCCUUUUUCAAUCGUCUGAUUUUUGUUUAUACAAAAUAAAAUAAAACUUUCAACAAUGGAUCUCUUGGCUCUG